GGAGAAUUCCCAAACGUUCCAAAUGGUGAUGUUGUGCAAAAGGGUCGAAUGUUUUUGAAAUACCAAUGUAAAGCCUUUCACACACUCGUCGGUGAAGCCACCGUGGCAUGUUACAGUGAUAGGACUUGGUCACCACUACCCGUCUGCAAAGAGACAUUUUGUGUCCUCGAUCCUGCUCAAAAUCCUCUGCCCAAUGUUCAACUAUCAAGAGUUGAAUAUCUAAAGGAAGGAGAGCGGAAGCAUUUUCCGUGUAUUUGGUAUGAUUACAGCAGACGUGUUCAGUGCACUAAUGGAAGAAUAACUACUACAGGAUGUUGUUCUACUUAUGACCAUGGACGGGGAAUUUGCCCGUAAAGCACAGCAGAGGAAUCACUGCUGGACUGACAACUAAAGCCAAGUUGGAAAUUUUCUCCGUCCUCCAGAUUCCUCCACCAGAGAACAACUACACCCAUUUUUUUGUCCUUUUUGUUUCAAUUUGAUUGAAAAUUCAUACACACAAUUUUGGAGCUGAUUGUUCUCUGACAGUCAGCUUGUGUCUUUAUGACUGGAACUCCUUAUAGCAUUAUCAGUUCUCUGAAUAAAAAUAAAGUUCAUAUGACCUACAGUCAUCUGAAUGAAAUGUUCACUGUAGAAAUCUUAA